rnacentral:rRNA from 1 species
GAUGAACGCUGGCGGCGUGCCUAAUACAUGCAAGUCGAGCGAACAGACGAGGAGCUUGCUCCUCUGGCGUUAGCGGCGGACGGGUGAGUAACACGUGGAUAACCUACCUAUAAGACUGGGAUAACUUCGGGAAACCGGAGCUAAUACCGGAUAAUAUAUUGAACCGCAUGGUUCAAUAGUGAAAGACGGUUUUGCUGUCACUUAUAGAUGGAUCCGCGCCGCAUUAGCUAGUUGGUAAGGUAACGGCUUACCAAGGCAACGAUGCGUAGCCGACCUGAGAAGGUGAUCGGCCACACUGGAACUGAGACACGGUCCAGACUCCUACGGGAGGCAGCAGUAGGGAAUCUUCCGCAAUGGGCGAAAGCCUGACGGAGCAACGCCGCGUGAGUGAUGAAGGUCUUCGGAUCGUAAAACUCUGUUAUUAGGGAAGAACAAAUGUGUAAGUAACUAUGCACGUCUUGACGGUACCUAAUCAGAAAGCCACGGCUAACUACGUG